AUUCGUUGGCAAUCAGAGUUCCAACACUUGAACAACCGAAAUACUCCGAUCUAGUGAUUGGGCCUAAUAUUAGCUGGGAGUGAUCUCAUAAACAGUUUACUGGAGGAAGGAACAGGAUCCACUCCAUUACUAUGGACUUGAAUUGUGAGAAGGGAUAUGGACGUAAGUGCUGUGGGACUGGGGUUUCUCAUUGUCUUCCCACGGAGGUGUGAAAAAGAGCAAAGCUUACCAACCAUCAGAAUAAAUGGGUUGUUUACUGCAAUGUUUACAGCCCUGGGGAAAAACAAACCCUCCCCAGAGGGAACAGAUGAGGUGUGAACUCUAGGGAAAUAUCCUAAUCUUGAGCCUGAAUCUUUAGCAGUAAAUGCAAGGAGGUUGUAAAGAUAAACAAAUAGGUAGGGAUUCCAGGGGUAACAGGUGCAGAGUUGUCUGAAAACCAAAUCGGUUGGAAAAAACCUAACAGAAUGGAAUAACCAAGCGGAUCUUUAUCACCCAGAUGAUCUGGCAUUUCUACCUCUAUGGAUUCAAUUAAUUGGAGAAUUGCAAAAUCUCUACUUCCUGUUUCAGGUGUGGAUGGGGGGGCACUCAUCUAGUUUUGUAUUGGACAGUCUGAUUUUCAGAUGAUCAGUCCCCUCUCCAGAAUGGAUAUGGAAUUGAA